UGUAUGUACACUUCAUGAAAGGUUUUGC
rnacentral:sRNA from 1 species